GACGAACGCUGGCGGCGUGCUUAACACAUGCAAGUCGAACGGAAAGGCCCUUCGGGGUACUCGAGUGGCGAACGGGUGAGUAACACGUGGGUGAUCUGCCCUGCACUCUGGGAUAAGCCUGGGAAACUGGGUCUAAUACCGGAUAGGACCACACACUUCAUGGUGAGUGGUGCAAAGCUUUUGCGGUGUGGGAUGAGCCCGCGGCCUAUCAGCUUGUUGGUGGGGUAAUGGCCCACCAAGGCGACGACGGGUAGCCGGCCUGAGAGGGUGACCGGCCACACUGGGACUGAGAUACGGCCCAGACUCCUACGGGAGGCAGCAGUGGGGAAUAUUGCACAAUGGGCGCAAGCCUGAUGCAGCGACGCCGCGUGAGGGAUGACGGCCUUCGGGUUGUAAACCUCUUUCAGUAGGGACGAAGCGAAAGUGACGGUACCUACAGAAGAAGGACCGGCCAACUACGUGCCAGCAGCCGCGGUAAUACGUAGGGUCCGAGCGUUGUCCGGAAUUACUGGGCGUAAAGAGCUCGUAGGUGGUUUGUCGCGUUGUUCGUGAAAACUCACAGCUUAACUGUGGGCGUGCGGGCGAUACGGGCAGACUAGAGUACUGCAGGGGAGACUGGAAUUCCUGGUGUAGCGGUGGAAUGCGCAGAUAUCAGGAGGAACACCGGUGGCGAAGGCGGGUCUCUGGGCAGUAACUGACGCUGAGGAGCGAAAGCGUGGGUAGCGAACAGGAUUAGAUACCCUGGUAGUCCACGCCGUAAACGGUGGGUACUAGGUGUGGGUUUCCUUCCUUGGGAUCCGUGCCGUAGCUAACGCAUUAAGUACCCCGCCUGGGGAGUACGGUCGCAAGACUAAAACUCAAAGGAAUUGACGGGGGCCCGCACAAGCGGCGGAGCAUGUGGAUUAAUUCGAUGCAACGCGAAGAACCUUACCUGGGUUUGACAUGCACAGGACGUACCUAGAGAUAGGUAUUCCCUUGUGGCCUGUGUGCAGGUGGUGCAUGGCUGUCGUCAGCUCGUGUCGUGAGAUGUUGGGUUAAGUCCCGCAACGAGCGCAACCCUUGUCCUAUGUUGCCAGCGGGUAAUGCCGGGGACUCGUAGGAGACUGCCGGGGUCAACUCGGAGGAAGGUGGGGAUGACGUCAAGUCAUCAUGCCCCUUAUGUCCAGGGCUUCACACAUGCUACAAUGGCCAGUACAGAGGGCUGCGAAGCCGCAAGGUGGAGCGAAUCCCUUAAAGCUGGUCUCAGUUCGGAUUGGGGUCUGCAACUCGACCCCAUGAAGUCGGAGUCGCUAGUAAUCGCAGAUCAGCAACGCUGCGGUGAAUACGUUCCCGGGCCUUGUACACACCGCCCGUCACGUCAUGAAAGUCGGUAACACCCGAAGCCAGUGGCCUAACCUUUUGGAGGGAGCUGUCGAAGGUGGGAUC
rnacentral:rRNA from 1 species